rnacentral:rRNA from 1 species
GUGCUUGUACAUUUUGGACGUCGACCGGCGCACGGGUGAGUAUCGCGUAUCCAACCUGCCCUUUACUUGGGGAUACCCCGUUGAAAGACGGCCUAAUACCCGAUGUAAUUCAUUGAUGGCAUCAGAUAUGAAUAAAAGAUUUAUCGGUAAAGGAUGGGGAUGCGUCUGAUUAGCUUGUUGGUGAGGUAAAGGCUCACCAAGGCAACGAUCAGUAGGGGUUCUGAGAGGAAGGUCCCCCACAUUGGAACUGAGACACGGUCCAAACUCCUACGGGAGGCAGCAGUGAGGAAUAUUGGUCAAUGGGCGCAAGCCUGAACCAGCCAAGUAGCGUGCAGGAAGACGGCCCUAUGGGUUGUAAACUGCUUUUAUACGAGAAUAAUUUGAUGCACGUGUGCGUUAUUGCAUGUAUCGUAUGAAUAAGGACCGGCUAAUUCCGUGCCAGCAGCCGCGGUAAUACGGAAGGUCCAGACGUUAUCCGGAUUUAUUGGGUUUAAAGGGAGUGUAGGCGGUUUGUUAAGCGUGUUGUGAAAUUUAGGUGCUCAACAUUUAACUUGCAGCGCGAACUGUCAGACUUGAGUACACGCAACGUAUGCGGAAUUCAUGGUGUAGCGGUGAAAUGCUUAGAUAUCAUGAAGAACUCCGAUUGCGAAGGCAGCAUACGGGAGUGUAACUGACGCUUAAGCUCGAAGGUGCGGGUAUCGAACAGGAUUAGAUACCCUGGUAGUCCGCACAGUAAACGAUGGAUGCCCGCUGUUAGCGCC